UGAUGAAAGUAAAUGAUACUUUAAAAUUCCUUAAUGCUAAGAAAACAAGACAUCCACAGGAUGAACAAGGAGGUUAAAGACAAUCAGGAGAUGAAGUCCAGGAUACUGGUGAUCAAGGCCGCGGAAGACAGCGCCCUGCAGUACAUGAACUUCAUGAACGUCAUCUUCGCGGCGCAGAAGCAGAAUAUUUUGAUCGAUGCGUGUGUUUUAGACUCCGAUUCAGGACUCCUCCAACAGGUACGUUCUAGGUGAAUGCUUGGUGUUGGUUGUGAAAGGGGGUGUGUUCUGUUCCUAUUGUUCCAUGCCUUUCACUGAUCGUCACACAUUUGUAGGGAUUAGCCUGUGUGACAGUAUAGAUGAGAGAACGAACAUUUCUCUGGCCCCUUCAAACUUUCUAUUUUACAUAAUAACUUGAUUGACUUUGGAAAAGUGAUUCACACAUUAAAACAAAUAUAAGCAACACAGAAAAGUAUUUUUUAAAAAGGUUUAAAAAAUCCCUUCAAAUACUAUUAUUCGAAAGUUACCAUUGUUAAUAAUUGGUGAAGAGAAUGAUAGAUCUCUGUGUAUAUAGAUAUAGAUUUUUAGGAAGAGGAAGGGAGAGGGGGAGAAACAUUGACGCGAGAGC